rnacentral:lncRNA from 1 species
UUGGUCCCAUCUAAGUUUACACUUAAACGUUACCUUAAUCAAAAUGUAAGUAAAAUACCAAAUUAUUAUUUAUAUGGAGAAAGGAAAGGACAAAUACUUCAUGCCAGACUUCGGAUGGAUUGCAGUAAUCUAAACGAACAUGUAUUAAGAGAAAUCUUGAAGAAAUUAAAAACUGUACUUGUGGUAGAAUCGAAAGCAGUAAGCAUUGUCUUCUGUCCCUUGUCCGAAAACGUACAAUAGAAACUAUUCCGUUCCCAUAUACAAUAUAAAACACUCCUGUUUGGCAAAAUAACCUCAGUCAAGAGGAAAAUCUACUUGUGUUUAAACAAGUUCAACAAUUUUUAGUAGAUUCAAAGCCAUUUGGAAUAUAUAGUAUUUCA